rnacentral:misc_RNA from 1 species
UGUUUUGCUAGACCAAUCUGUUUUGACCGGUUGUGUGGGACGUCCCAUACAGGCCGAUAAGGCCGUCGCCAAGCGUUUGGCGCACCGUCUGUAGCGCAGGCUCGAAGAGCCGACAGCGUGAAGACAAAACAAACCCCGAGUGUGGGGCGAUAGGGUUCGGCAAAAGAGGUUUCUAGAUAUCGCAA